GGUUCCUUAGAUCGUACACGCUACAUGGAUAACUGUAGUAAUUCUAGAGCUAAUACAUGCCACUAUGCCCUGACCCGCAAGGGAACGGGUGGAUUUAUUAGAACAGAACCAACCGGGAGCGGCUUCGGUCGUUCCUGUUGCACUCUGUGAUGACUCUGGAUAACUUUACUGAUCGCAGUCGGCCUUGUGUCGGCGACGGAUCUUUCAAAUGUCUGCCCUAUCAACUUUCGAUGGUAGGUGAUCUGCCUACCAUGGUGAUAACGGGUAACGGGGAAUCAGGGUUCGAUUCCGGAGAGGGAGCCUGAGAAACGGCUACCACAUCCAAGGAAGGCAGCAGGCGCGAAAAUUACCCACUCCCGGCACGGGGAGGUAGUGACGAAAAAUACGAAUACGGGACUCACUCGAGGCUCCGUAAUUCGAAUGAGUACAAUCUAAAUCCUUUAACGAGGACCAAUUGGAGGGCAAGUCUGGUGCCAGCAGCCGCGGUAACUCCAGCUCCAAAAGCGUAUAUUAAAGUUGCUGCAGUUAAAAAGCUCGUAGUUGGAUCUGGGUCGUGCGUUCACAUGUCGUCGCUUGGUUCUGAUUUCGGUCAGUUCCAAGUGAUGGUAAAGUGGUCGUGCAGCCUUUCAGCCGUGUCUGCGUGAGCAGGUGUUGGCUGGCCGGUGAGCUUGCUUGCUGGCCAGUAGACAUGUUUC
rnacentral:rRNA from 1 species